rnacentral:rRNA from 1 species
UAGGGAAUCUUCCGCAAUGGACGAAAGUCUGACGGAGCAACGCCGCGUGAGUGAUGAAGGUUUUCGGAUCGUAAAACUCUGUUGUUAGGGAAGAACAAGUUGGGUAGUAACUGACCCAACCUUGACGGUACCUAACCAGAAAGCCACGGCUAACUACGUGCCAGCAGCCGCGGUAAUACGUAGGUGGCAAGCGUUGUCCGGAAUUAUUGGGCGUAAAGCGCUCGCAGGCGGUCUUUUAAGUCUGAUGUGAAAGCCCACGGCUUAACCGUGGAGGGUCAUUGGAAACUGGAGGACUUGAGUACAGAAGAGGAGAGUGGAAUUCCACGUGUAGCGGUGAAAUGCGUAGAGAUGUGGAGGAACACCAGUGGCGAAGGCGACUCUCUGGUCUGUAACUGACGAUGAGGAGCGAAAGCGUGGGUAGCGAACAGG